AAUCAACGCUGGCGGCGUGCCUCAGACAUGCAAGUCGAACGAUUAAACUUCCCUUCGGGGAAGAUAUAAAGUGGCGCACGGGUGAGUAACACGUAGGUAAUGUACCUUUGGGUGGGGAAUAACUUAGGGAAACUUAAGCUAAUACCGCAUAAUGCAGCGGCUCCUUCGGGAGACAGUUGUUAAAGAUUUAUCGCCUAAAGAGCAGCCUGCGGCAGAUUAGCUAGUUGGUAAGGUAACGGCUUACCAAGGCUACGAUCUGUAUCCGACCUGAGAGGGUGGUCGGACACACUGACACUGAAUAACAGGUCAGACUCCUACGGGAGGCAGCAGUCGGGAAUUUUGGGCAAUGGGCGAAAGCCUGAACCAGCAACGCCGCGUGAAGGAUGAAGUCUUUCGGGAUGUAAACUUCGUAAGAAUAGGAAGAAUAAAUGACGGUACUAUGUGUAAGGUCCGGCUAACUACGUG
rnacentral:rRNA from 1 species